rnacentral:rRNA from 1 species
CACGCUGUAAACGAUGGAUACUAGGUGUGGGGGGUAUUGACCCCCUCCGUGCCGGAGUUAACACAAUAAGUAUCCCACCUGGGGAGUACGGCCGCAAGGUUGAAACUCAAAGGAAUUGACGGGGGCCCGCACAAGCAGUGGAGUAUGUGGUUUAAUUCGAAGCAACGCGAAGAACCUUACCAGGGCUUGACAUCCUACUAACGAGGCAGAGAUGCGUUAGGUGCCCUUCGGGGAAAGUAGAGACAGGUGG